AAACCAACAGGGAUUGCCUCAGUAACGGCGAGUGAAGCGGCAACAGCUCAAAUUUGAAAUCUGGCCUCACGGUCCGAGUUGUAAUUUGUAGAGGAUGUUUUGGGCACCGCUCCGGGUUAAAUUUCUUGGAACAGAAUGUCAAAGAGGGUGAGAGUCCCGUCUUGGCCCGCGGUAGGACCUGUGUAAAACUCCUUCGACGAGUCGACUUGUUUGGGAAUGCAGGUCAAAAUGGGUGGUAAAUUUCAUCUAAAGCUAAAUAUUGGCCAGAGACCGAUAGCGCACAAGUAGAGUGAUCGAAAGAUGAAAAGCACUUUGAAAAGAGAGUUAAACAGUAUGUGAAAUUGUUGAAAGGGAAGCGCUGGCAACCAGACUCGAGCGCGGUGUUCCCCCUGGCUUCUGCCUGGGUUAUUUCACCGUGACCGGGCCAUCAUCAGUUUCGAGGGCUGGUUAAAGGUCUAGGGAAUGUAUCCACUCCUUCGGGGGUGGACUUAUAGCCCUGGGCGUCAUGCAGCCUCCCGGGACUGAGGAACGCGCUUCGGCGAGGAUGAUGGCGUAAUGGUUGUCAGCGAC
rnacentral:rRNA from 1 species